UGGGGAAUAUUGCACAAUGGGGGAAACCCUGAUGCAGCGACGCCGCGUGAAGGAAGAAGUAUUUCGGUAUGUAAACUUCUAUCAGCAGGGAAGAAGAUGACGGUACCUGAGUAAGAAGCACCGGCUAAAUACGUGCCAGCAGCCGCGGUAAUACGUAUGGUGCAAGCGUUAUCCGGAUUUACUGGGUGUAAAGGGAGCGUAGACGGAUAGGCAAGUCUGGAGUGAAAACCCAGGGCUCAACCCUGGGACUGCUUUGGAAACUGCAGAUCUGGAGUGCCGGAGAGGUAAGCGGAAUUCCUAGUGUAGCGGUGAAAUGCGUAGAUAUUAGGAGGAACACCAGUGGCGAAGGCGGCUUACUGGACGGUGACUGACGUUGAGGCUCGAAAGCGUGGGGAGCAAACA
rnacentral:rRNA from 2 species